rnacentral:snRNA from 1 species
GUGAGGACGAUCUGGCUGCAACAUCUGUCACCCCAUUGAUUGCCAGAAUUGAUUCGGCUGAUUGGUCUGGCUAGGCAGGUGUCCUCUCCCUCCCUCACAUGUGCGUCCCUCCCAAAGCUGUGCGCCCAGUGGAAGAGGACGACUAUCCUCAAUAGAGGAGGACCGGCAAGUGUAUAGGAGUAGCUGUGCUUCCCCACUAGGACCUCCAAACAAGCUCUCAAAAUGACUUUUGAAUGCAUAGCUACAGAACUGAAGCUGCUAGAGAGGUAGAUGCUUUGGAGAAAAAUCCAACUGUGGAGAUGGCAUCUUUUUCU